rnacentral:lncRNA from 1 species
GUAAAUGUAUAUAGAUUAUCAAGGACUCAACAAGAUUACCAUCAAGAAUUUGUAUCCUUUCCCUUUGAUAUCUGGACUUCUUGAUCAACUAAAUCAAGCUAAGAUCUAUACAAAAAUAGAUCUAUAAAAAGCAUUGUCAUAUUACGUGAAGUCUUGCUUGAGAAUGCACCGAGCACCUAGCUAUGGAAGGUAAAAGAAAAUUGCAACAAAAGGUCCUAACAAUCCAAUAGGAUUAUAGAGAAUUUACAAUUAAACGUUAAAAAUUAUAAUCAAACAUUAAGCAAGCUCAAUUAAAUUUUAUUGAAGUUAUAAAAAAAACACAAGGAAAUCCUAAAGAAAUAUAAAAGAAUAUUAAAGAAAACUUAGUCAAACCCUAACAAAAAUCUAAUAGAACCUUAAAUUAUAACCAAAUCCUAAUUCUAAUCCAACCUUAAUCAAACCCUAGACAAACCCUAAAUCCUAAACCAAAUCCUAAUUCUAAUCCAACCUUAAUCAAAUCCUAGACAAACCCUAAAUCCUAAACCAAAUCCUAAUCAAAUCCUAAUCCAAACCCUAAAUCCUAAAUCCUAAACCAAAUCCUAAUCUAAAUCCUAAAUCCUAAAUCAAACCCUAAUCAAAUCCUAAAUUCUAAACCAAAUCUUAAUCUAAAUCUUAAAUCCUAAACCAAAUCCUAAUUCAAAUCCUAAAUCCUAAACCAAAUCCUAAAUCCUAAAUCAAAUCCUAAUCCAAAUCCUAAACCCCAAACCAAAUCCUAACCAAACCCUAAACGAAAUCCUAAUAAUUCCUACAACAGAUUUAAACCUCAAUAACUAAUGAAUAAACCGUUGAUCUUAACUAAAAUUUUGCAUACUUCUAAAAAAAUAAGUUGAAAACAAGCACAAAAAAUUUGAUAAGGAUCGGAGUUACCAAAUUGACGAUAUCUUCAAAAAUAUGCUCAGAUAUUGGCCGACCUCCUCCUCCAAUCUUAAUGCCAAUCUUCCAGAGCCAAUAUCUCUCCUUUGCACCUUUCGAUUGAUUUCAAAAAUCUCAUACGCAUAAAAAAACAAGUCUAAUAUCCUCUCACAUAAGUUUUACUCCAGUUCAACUAAUAAAUUGCAAGAAAUCUCAAAAACCCCCACUAGACCUAAAAUUCUACUUUUUGAGACCUUGAUCCACUUAAACCUCAAUAUCCCUCAAUUCAAUUGUUAAAUCAAGCUCAAAUUCACGACACAUAUUAAAAACAACUAUAACCAUAAACCCACAGAAUUUCACUUGUAGAUCUAUUACAAAACUAUUGAAAUCACCUCAAAACAUAAACCCUAUUUUAUUUCAUAAAACCCAAGUCAUCUAAAACAAACCUUGACUUUGCAAAGCUAUUACAAAGUCAAUACAGAUCCAAAUCACCCAAAUCCAACACCUAUAGAAAACCUAUCCAAUCUUCUAUCAAACCCCACUCUCCGAUCUGCCAAAGAGUCCUAGAGUUGUUGUCGAGACUCAGUUUUGUGCUUCAGGGUCUGAUUUCGAUCCUGGUUCAUAACCGGCCCUCUCCGGGUAUCAACUUUCAUCUUCUUGAGGUAAUUUUUACUAAUUUGCACUCCUAACUCUUUCCUAAAUAUGCCUAUAUCCUUUUUUUUUUUAAUCUACCUUAUUUUGCCUUAUUUUUGGCCCUACAAAGUAAGUAGAAGCUAUUUUUUCUAAAAGGGUAGCAUUACUACUAAAAGUUUUACUACCUUCCUAUCUUUUAUCCAUAUUUUUCUACCCUUUCUUUUAACUUGACUCUUCUAUAAUAAGAUCCAUAUUAUCAUAUUUCAUCAUAUAGUCGUAUUACAACACGACAUCUACCCCCUCUGAACUUGUGCAUCCUCCAGUAUGCACCAAAUAAUCCAACUUUGUUUGAUUCAUACAAUAUUUUCAAUGUCCUCAUCCAAUUCUUCUUCUUCAUAUUCGCUAUUCAAAUCAAAGUCAUCUUGUUGUCUUGAAAGAUUUAUAUCUUUGACAAAGUCUUCUAUAAUUAUUUAUAUUUGCUUUUAUUUGAAUAUCUUCACUCUCUUCUAUUAUCAUCAUCCUUUAAUCCAAUAUAUGCAAUUUCCUUCAAAAAUCUUCUAAUCCAUUUUCUUGAUAAAUACCAAAAAUCUCUCAUCAUCUUUUCAUAACUCACAUAAUAUAUAUAUAUAUAUAUAUAUAUAUAUAUCUAUUUUGAAUGCCAAUAAACUUGAAUCAAAAGUACCUACAUCUUAUAAGAGUACCUCCUUUUCAUACCUCCAUAGUCUUGCUUUACAAUGAUACUUUUCCAAAAUCUUUUUUAUUUUUUAUUUUUUAUUUUUUUUUCCCAAUAAAAUUGAAAUCAAAGGCAUCUAUAUCUUAUAAAUGUAUCUUCCUUUUUAUAUCUUCAUAGUCUUACUUUACAAUAAUACUUCUCGAUUUUUUUUUUUUUUUUUUUUUUUUUUUUUUUUAAAUAAAACUUAAAUCAAAGGCAUCUUUAUCUUGUAAAUGUACCUCCUUUUUUAUAACUCCAUAGUCUUGCUUUACAAUGAUACUUCUCAUUUUUUUUAUUUUUUAUUUUUUUUCAAUAAAAUUGAAAUCAAAGGCAUCUAUAUCUUGUAAGAAUACCCCCCUCCUUUUUUAUACCUCCAUAGUCUUGCUUUACAAUGAUACUUCUUCAAAAUAUUCAUAUAUAUAUAUAUAUAUAUAUAUAGUUCAAUGCCAAUAUUUCCAUUUACUCCUAAUGUGCAAGUAAUUUACAAAUAUCCUUUUUUGCACAUGACCAAACCAUUGACGAGGUACAAAAUUUGAAAUGAAAAGAUUGAAUUGAAACCUCUUCCAAAUAGCCACAUACAUCUUUCUUGUAUCUUUUUUAUUAUUUCUUUGAUUCCAAGUCCCAUUUAUGAUGUCUAGGUAAUCUUUAAAUCCAUUUCUCUCGUCUUUAUAUUUGAAGAUUUUUAGAUUUUCAACCCUUGAAUUUCAUACUUGAUAAUAAACCUUAUCUUUGUUAAAAUCCAAUUGUGUCUCCAUUACAUGUGCAUUAUCUAUAUAACUUUGACCUUGGUCCAAAAGAGAAGUACUCACAAUUAACUUAAUUAUAGUCAAUGACUUAGCAUCCUUAUCUUUUGUCCCAUAAUCUUCAUUUGUCACAUAAUCUUGUGUAACAUCCUUCAUAUCUUCUUGAAUGCAUCCUUGUGAAACAUCAUAAUCUUUUGUUGUCUCAAAGCAUUGCAUAACCUCAUAAUAUUGAAAAUUCUCAUGCUCCUUUAAAAUCUCAUGCUCUUGAAAAGUUUCAUAACUUUCACAAUAAUCCUUUGUGGUUUCACAACCACAUUUAUUAUCAUAAGCUUAUGUAAUUUCAUAACCCUCUUCAUGUGAAAACUCAUAACUUCUUUCACUCAAUUCAUAUGUGGUCAUUUAGUCAUAUGUAAUUUGAUUUUCAUCAUCAUAUCCAUGCAUAAUUCUACCACUUCUCAUAUCAUAAUGUUGUGAAUUCAUAUAGUCUUCAUGAUUAUAACCUUCAAUAGAUCCAUUAUCUAUUUUUUGUAAAGGUUCAAUCUUAAAUUCUUCAACGCGAUCCAAAGUAUUAGACAAAAUAUCUUUACCUCCUUCAAAUGUAGAAAAUACCUUUUUAUCACCAAGAUAUUUUCCAUCUAAAUUACCAUCACCAACUUUCACAAACUUAUUCAAUAUAGAAUAGCCAUAGCUUCCAACCACAUUGUCAUUAGUUUUCAAAUCCUUAAUCUUCACAUUACCUUCAAAUUUUUGGAUACCUUGGCCUUCCAUAGUAAUAGUUUGAAAAGAAUCUUUUUUCUCUCCUUCACCACCCUUGCUAUAAGAUUUAAUUUCUUUCAUCUGUAAAGAAUUAGCUUUUCCAUUAAAAUUUCCUAUUUUUUCUUCUAUUUCUCUUUUUUUAAGAUUAGUCCCUUGCAUUGAUAAAGAUGAUAUAGAAGCCAAAGUAGAAGAUUUCUUAGGCCAUAUUGAAACUUCUUUAGCUUUUGCUUCUUGUUGCCUUGCUAAAAAAACCACUACUUUCUUCAACUACUCCCAAUUAUUAGUAUAAUCACUCUCCGUAGACUCAUCUUCAAGAAGCAUGAAAACCUCAUCUCUCAAGGCAUCAUCAAGACCAUGUAAAAACAAAUCUACCUUUAAAGCACCCAAUGAUCGUCUGUCCAAGGAUGAGAGUUGAUAAAAUCUCCUAUCAAAUUCUUCUAAGAAUUCAUAAAGAUCCAUAUGCUUGCUUGAUUGCAAUUCUACCCAAUCCAAAAACUUUUGCUUGGUAAUUUUAUCCUCAUUUCCAUCAAUAAAUUCUUUCUUCAAAAGUUCUUGAAAUUUUGACCAUGUUUCUACACCCCCUCCAAGUAAUUUCUUCACUUGUUUAUGAAAUCUAGGUUCAAUAGCCAAAUAUAAGCUUGAGAUCAUCUUUGCCUCAAGGAUUUGGCAUGUCUCCAUCUCACAUGUAUAAACUUGCAAAAACUUAGUGAUGUUGCAUCCUUCAAACCUCCCAAAUUUGUUGAUGACUCCUUGCAAUGCCCUUGUGAUAUCUUUUUCAAUUACUUGCAUUCUUUGUUGCUCCUCCAUGAAUAUAUAAAAAGCCUUAAAAAAUUCACUAAUAUUUGAUCCAUCUAUAAUAUUCGACCUAUCCAAAAACCUUGAUGAUACAUCUUCCAUUUUGUUCCACAAGGAUCAAAAAUGUUCCUUGAAAUACUCCAAUAAAUACCUUAUGAUACUUCAAAAUGCUCCAACAUAUCUAUAAAGCCUUAUAAUACUCCAUGAUAAUCCAAAUAUUGCCAUUGUAUUUUAAGAUAGCCUCCAAAGCUCCAAGAAUUCAAAAGCUUCAAUUCACAUAUCACCCAAAGCUUUUCUUCCAACUUUCUUUUCUUUCUUUUCUAAAAUUCAAAUAAUCCAAAGAAACCAAAUUCCUUCCACCUAAAGCGUUUCACGUCAGGUUCACCAAAUAUGUCAUAUUACGUGAAGUCUUGCUUGAGAAUGCACCAAGCACCUAGCUAUGGAAGGUAAAAGAAAAUUGCAACAAAAGGUCCUAACAAUCCAAUAGGAUUAUAGAGAAUUUAUAAUUAAACAUUAACAAUUAUAAUAAAAAAUUAAGCAAGCUCAAUUAAAUUUUAUUGAAGUUAUAAAAAAAACACAAGGAAAUCCUAAAGAAAUAUAAAAGAAUAUUAAAGAAAACUUAGUCAAACCCUAACAAAAAUCUAAUAGAACCUUAAAUUCUAACCAAAUCCUAAUUCUAAUCCAACCUUAAUCAAACCCUAGACAAAUCCUAAAUCCUAAACCAAAUCCUAAUCAAACCUUAAUCCCUAACCAAAUCCUAAUCCAAACCUUAAACCCUAAAUCCUAAACCAAAUCCUAAUCUAAACCCUAAACCCUAAAUCAAACCCUAAUCAAAUCCUAAAUUCUAAACCAAAUCUUAAUCUAAAUCUUAAAUCCUAAACCAAAUCCUAAUUCAAAUCCUAAAUCCUAAACCAAAUCCUAAAUCCUAAAUCAAAUCCUAAUCCAAAUCCUAAACCCCAAACCAAAUCCUAACCAAACCCUAAACGAAAUCCUAAUAAUUCCUACAACAGAUUUAAACCUCAAUAACUAAUGAAUAAACCAUUGAUCUUAACUAAAAUUUUGCAUACUUCUAAAAAAAAUAAGUUAAAAACAAGCACAAAAAAUUUGAUAAGGAUCGGAGUUACCAAAUUGACGAUAUCUUCAAAAAUAUGCUUAGAUAUUGGCCAGCCUCCUUCUCCAAUCUUAAUGCCAAUCUUCCAGAGCCAAUAUCUCUCCUUUGCACCUUUCGAUUGAUCUCAAAAAUCUCAUACGCAUAGAAAACAAGUCUAAUAUCCUCUCACAUAAGUUUUACUCCAGUUCAACUAAUAAAUUGCAAGAAAUCUCAAAAACCCCCACUAGACCUAAAAUUCUACUUUUUGAGACCUUGAUCCACUUAAACCUCAAUAUCCCUCAAUUCAAUUGUUAAAUCAAGCUCAAAUUCACGACACAUAUUAAAAACAACUAUAACCAUAAACCCACAGAAUUUCACUUGUAGAUCUAUUACAAAACUAUUGAAAUCACCUCAAAACAUAAACCCUAUUUUAUUUCAUAAAACCCAAGUCAUCUAAAACAAACCUUGACUUUGCAAAGCUAUUACAAAGUCAAUACAGAUCCAAAUCACCCAAAUCCAACACCUAUAGAAAACCUAUCCAAUCUUCUAUCAAACCCCACUC